ensembl:lncRNA
GUUUAUAUUCAGGUGCGCUUAAUAGUCCAGAAAUUACGGUACAUACUGUAGUAAACAUGGGAAAUGCCUAAUUCCUUACAUAAGGGAGAGCAGGCCAUGUCCAGACUUUCUCGGUGACCACAAGUACUCAUUAACUCUGUCUUUUAAUGCUUUUUCGGGUUGCAUCAGUCAUGGAAGGAAACUCCUGAGACACAGUAUUAACGAUGAUCACCCGGAGGUUCACUGGUAAGCUACAUUUGCCUCGAGAUCCAUCCGUUUGUAUUCUGUGCCCAGUCGAGGUAACUCUCUUCGAUUACACAUCCUUGGAAUAGCAGAACAGCAUAACGGUCUGGGCGGCCCUUGCUGUGCCUGGUGAGCAGUUGGUCAAGUUCUGUUGUCAGGGCUUUCAGCAGGAACGGAAAAUCUACUGGAGACAUUUAAAAAAUACUGGUAGACUUGGGGAUUUUGGUCACGGACAGUGCCAUUCACAAACACUAUCAUCAGAUGCCUGUUUUACGCCGAACUCGAAAGCCCAGGAAAAUUCACAGUGAGACUAUUCAAGCCAUCAACUCACUGUUGAAUGAAAAUGACGAGCGAUCGGCAAUCUGUAAUCUGCUGGCAUCACGGCACGACAUCAACAUCGCUCUAAUUACAGUCAGAAGACAGUUGAAGAAACUUGGGUGGACUUACAGAAAGGCUUAGCCCAGGCAUGGAUCAAAGCUGCCGAGACGUUCAAUAAUGUCAUCGUCACAGACUAAUCAACCGUGGCCCUUGAGCAAUUUGCUCAAAAUUGCUACAAAAAAAAGGAAGAUCAAACGAGCCGAGUCCCAAGCAUCUGCUCAAACUCCAUGUGUGAGGGGCAAUUUCUCGCCAGGGACCAGGCCCAUAUUUGACUUUUGAUGGUGAGUUUGGCUAUUUACAAAGCAAAAGGUACAUCAAAUAUUGUAGGCUACAACUCAGUCUGUUAUGUGUUCCACAAUAAUUCACCUUGCCUCCUUUUUCAGGUAUGGCUCAAGAUUUAUUUUUCUUUCUUUGAGGAAGAAAACCUUAGGAGAUAUGGACCCUAUGUCAGAGAGGUGUUUCUGGGACCACAUUGUUUCUUUCAAAGUAGGAUUAUAGCCAUUUUUAAUUACAUUUAGGCCUAUUUACAUGUAUAUUUCUAUUAAUGUACCUAAUUUUGGCUAAGGGCAUAAACUAGGUCAGGACGCCAGCAGAGUAAGUAGUUCACAACACAUGUAGUAAAAUAAAGGUUAAAUAAAAAUGUAAAAAUAAGACCUACAACACAUUCGGUAGGCCUACAGUAUAUCUAAAAAUAUAUUUUUCAUCUCUACAUGUAGGUCUCCUGAUUUUUAAACCCGGUCAAACUGGUUUGGCAUCAACUGAAAACAUUCAUCCGUAACUCUGCCAAGCCGACAAGCACAGAUGAACUGGUCAAGGCCAUCAAGAUGUUUUUGGCUUGAGAAAUUGACCAUACAACAAUGCAACAAAUACAUUGAUAAUCUCAGCAAGGUUUUACCUGUGGUUUUGGAGCUGGGUGGAAGUGCGACUAAAAUGUAGUUUAUAUAAACAUCCGCAUUUGAAUGUAUUUUUCUCGUUUAUUUUAUUUUUAUUAACAAAAGCAUAAAGAUGUUGCGGAAUAAAUACUGUACUGCUGUUUGUUAGAAAUGUAACACUUUAGAGUACUUAAGCAUCAAACGUUGAUGGAUUUUCACAACAGUAGCAGGUGGUUAUAGGUUAGUAGGUUAUACAAAGG